UCUACCAGAAUAGGGUAGAAAAUAGGACCGUACAACCUCUUAUGAAAGUCUUCUCCUGAUCGUUUCUGAACUCACAGGAACAACGUUGAGAUGUGGAGGGAAAAGGGAUCCAACAUUUCUUCCGGGGAUUAAAAUCUCCAGAACUGGAACCCUUGGCUGAGGUGCAUCGACUUUUUGCUUCCCUCUGGUGGCGCAGAUCAGUGUUCUGAUAUGGAGGAAGCUGGGAGAUGUUACCUUAAAAGUAAGGUUAAUGGACACUCUCUAGGACAGGUGCCUGAAAGUGGACUUGGUAGAGCAAACGUUCAUGAAGUCAGGUUUCUAGCAGCCCCUGGCCACCAGCUCAACUCACCCUGAGGAGGCACCGAGGACUUCGAGGACUUCGCUGGAGGAGCAGACACGCGCAGAGGUCAGUCAUGUGAAGACCGAGGGGGAAGACAGCCAUCUAUAAGCCAAGGAGAGAAGCCUCAAAAGAAACCAGCCCUGCUGACACCUGACCUCAGACUUCCGGCUCUCGGACUGAGGAAAUAAACGUGGGCGCUAUGCUGGAUCUCGGAGGGCUCACUAGGAAACCCCGGAACCUGGACUUGCGCAGCAGCUUGGGGAGAUGGCUCCCUGAAAGUCACCUGAAACUUCUCGCAGGUAAAGAAGACCAUCCGCCCGACAGAAAGGCCUGAGGGGCUGGCUUUAGCUUCUAUUAGUGAG